GUGUGGUGUUCGAGGUGAGGUGGGGGGAAAAGGGCACGAAACACAGGGCCUUUAGGGGUGUGGGUCAUAGCCCAUUGUUCUCAACGGGGCCUGGUACAGGUUUUAGUAGCGAGUUGUAAGUUUUGUGCGGAAGUUUCAGGGUCCAUGAGAGGCCUUACGAGGCCUCUCCAUUUCGAAAUGCAGCUCCCGCGCAUGCGCCUCGUUUCCAGUUUCCGAUUAUGAGGUGAAGAUAACGAGAAGGAGAGGGCUGUGAACAAGUCCUUCCCAGCGUAACGGUGAGCCUUCAUUUUAAGGGUUGAUACGCUUGGCAGUUUUGGGUUCAAAGAUUGGCAGUUGACAACAGUCUUCUGAAAUACAUUAAAACUACUGACAGGUGAAGUGAAGUAACACUGAAUAUAUCAUCAUAAUGGCACCUGUCAAGGAGUGGAUAUAUUAGGCAAUAAGUGAACAGUCAUUUCUUGAAUUUUAUGUGUUUGAAGCAGGAAAUGUGGGCGAGAAGAUCUGAGUGACCUUAAAAAGGGCCAAAUAGUGAUGGCUAGACUGGGUUAGAGCAUUUCCCAAACAGCAAGUCUUAUGGGGUGUUCCCCAGUGUGCAGUGGUUAGUAUCUAUCAAAAAUGGUGCAAGGAAGGACAUCCAGUGAACUGGCAUCAGGUUUGUGGGUGCCCAAAGCUUAUUGAUGCAAAUGGUGAGUGAAGGCUAGCUGAUCUGGUUUAAUCACAUAGAAGAGUUAAUGUAGCUUAAGUUGCUGGAAAACAUAAUGCUGACAAUGAUAGAAAAGUGUGAGGAUUCAUAGUGCACAGCAGUUUGCUGCAUAAUGGGCUGCAUAACUGCAGACGGGUCUGGGUGCCCAUGAAGACCCCUGCCCACCACUGAAAGCGCCUGCAGUGGGGAUUGAGCGUCAAAAAUGGACCAUGGAGCAAUGGGAGAAGGUUGCCUGAUCUGAGGAAACA